AUCGCUUCUCGGCCUUUUGGCUAAGAUCAAGUGAAGUUUCUGUUCUUAUCAGUUUGAUCGCUGGUAUGUCAACUAUACGUUGAUGUUUUCGAUCAAAUGUAUUUUUGAUUUGUGGCAGAGAGGCUUGAAGCUUGCUUCACCCUCUCCAUGGAUUGCCCUGGUUUCGCAGUUUUUCCAGGUGUGGUCUUGCCAUU